AGCGAACGCUGGCGGCAGGCCUAACACAUGCAAGUCGAACGAAGUCUUCGGACUUAGUGGCGGACGGGUGAGUAACACGUGGGAACGUACCUUUUGGUUCGGAACAACUCAGGGAAACUUGAGCUAAUACCGGAUGAGCCCUUAGGGGGAAAGAUUUAUCGCCGAAAGAGCGGCCCGCGUUAGAUUAGCUGGUUGGUGAGGUAAAGGCUCACCAAGGCUACGAUCUAUAGCUGGUCUGAGAGGAUGAUCAGCCACACUGGGACUGAGACACGGCCCAGACUCCUACGGGAGGCAGCAGUGGGGAAUCUUGCGCAAUGGGCGAGAGCCUGACGCAGCCAUGCCGCGUGAAUGAUGAAGGUCUUAGGAUUGUAAAAUUCUUUUACCAGGGACGAUAAUGACGGUACCUGGAGAAAAAGCCCCGGCUAACUUCGUGCCAGCCGCCGCGGUAACAC
rnacentral:rRNA from 1 species